UGGGGGAUAUUGCACAAUGGGCGAAAGCCUGAUGCAGCGACGCCGCGUGGGGGAUGAAGGCCUUCGGGUUGUAAACUUCUUUUGCUCUGAACAAGGCAUGCCUUUGGGGUGUGUUGAGUGUAGGGGUUGAUUAGCGCCGGCUAACUACGUGCCAGCAGCCGCGGUAAUACGUAGGGCGCGAGCGUUGUCCGGAAUUAUUGGGCGUAAAGGGCUUGUAGGUGGCUGGUUGCGUCUGUCGUGAAAGCUCAUGGCUUAACUGUGGGUUUGCGGUGGGUACGGGCUGGCUUGAGUGCAGUAGGGGAGGCUGGAAUUCCUGGUGUAGCGGUGGAAUGCGCAGAUAUCAGGGGGAAUACCGGUGGCGAAGGCGGGUCUCUGGGCUGUUACUGGCGCUGGGGAGCGAAAGCGUGGGGAGCGAACAGG
rnacentral:rRNA from 1 species